rnacentral:rRNA from 1 species
GAUGAAUGCUGGCGGCGUGCCUAACACAUGCAAGUCGAGCGGCAGCGAGGGGUGCUUGCACCCUGUCGGCGAGCGGCGAACGGCUGAGUAACGCGUAGGAAUUUGCCCCAAAGUGAGGAAUAACUGCCCGAAAGGGUAGCUAAUGCCGCAUAUGGUCUUCGGAUUAAAGGAUUUAUCCGCUUUGGGAGAAGCCUGCGUUGGAUUAGGUUGUUGGUAGGGUAAUGGCCUACCAAGCCGACGAUCCAUAGCUGGUCUGAGAGGAUGAUCAGCCAGACUGGAACUGGGACACGGUCCAGACUCCUACGGGAGGCAGCAGUGAGGAAUCUUCCACAAUGGGCGAAAGCCUGAUGGAGCAACGCCGCGUGAAGGAUGAAGGCCUUCGGGUUGUAAACUUCUUUUAUGAGUGAAGAAUAUGACGGUAACUCAUGAAUAAGCACCGGCUAACUACGUG